rnacentral:rRNA from 1 species
GGUAUGGGAUGAGCUUGCGUCCGAUUAGCUAGUUGGCGGGGCAACGGCCCACCAAGGCGACGAUCGGUAGCCGGCCUGAGAGGGUGAUCGGCCACAUUGGGACUGAGAUACGGCCCAGACUCCUACGGGAGGCAGCAGUAGGGAAUAUUGCACAAUGGGGGAAACCUUGAUGCAGCAACGCCACGUGUGGGAAGAAGCAUUUCGGUGUGUAAACCACUGUCAUGAGGGAAUAAGGCCCGCCUCCGGGCGGGAUUGAAUGUACCUUGAGAGGAAGCACCGGCAAACUUCGUGCCAGCAGCCGCGGUAAUACGAGGGGUGCAAGCGUUGUUCGGAAUUACUGGGCGUAAAGGGAGCGUAGGCGGAGAUUCAAGCGGAUUGUACAAUCCCGGGGCCCAACCCCGGCUCUGCAGUCCGAACUGGAUCUCUUGGAUAGUUCAGGGGCAGGC